UAUACAAUGUAUAUACCCUGUUCAAGCAGCCCGAAAACAGGGGAGAAAAUAGAAAUUAAUACAAGUUGAAAAAAAAACUCCAAAUUCUUCAAAGACUCCCCAUACCCCGUGUGAUCCCACUCCACCCAAAGCUCCAAGUAGCCAUCCCUGUGCCUCAGGUCAAUAUGCAAGACAAGGUAUUUGAUGAGGAUAAUUCAAGCGUGAGAGAAAGUUCCAACGAUAGGCCGAUGAGAAAGAAGGAAGCAAUCAGAAGUAGAGAGAAAAAUGUUCAGUCCAUACACUCCGUGGAAGAGAAUUACCUCCACAGCUGCUUCGCUCAUACUGGAGGGUUUUGUAGGCUUUAUUCAGUAUUGUUAGUGGAAGCAAUUGGACUUGCUCAGUGAUUUUGCUGAAGGAGCUUACAACAGAUACACAUUGCAUCAACAGUCAACACAAGGAAAGGGACUCUAUAUUCUUGAGACUCUUUGAUGUUUGAAGUUUCUAAGCAAGCAAAAUUUUAAAAGAGAAGGA